GGUUUAAUUCGAAGCAACGCGAAGAACCUUACCUAAGCUUGACAUCCCAAUGACAUCUCCUUAAUCGGAGAGUUCCCUUCGGGGACAUUGGUGACAGGUGGUGCAUGGUUGUCGUCAGCUCGUGUCGUGAGAUGUUGGGUUAAGUCCCGCAACGAGCGCAACCCUUGUCUUUAGUUGCCAUCAUUAAGUUGGGCACUCUAGAGAGACUGCCAGGGAUAACCUGGAGGAAGGUGGGGAUGACGUCAAAUCAUCAUGCCCCUUAUGCUUAGGGCUACACACGUGCUACAAUGGGUAGUACAGAGGGUUGCCAAGCCGUAAGGUGGAGCUAAUCCCUUAAAGCUACUCUCAGUUCGGAUUGUAGGCUGAAACUCGCCUACAUGAAGCUGGAGUUACUAGUAAUCGCAGAUCAGAAUGCUGCGGUGAAUGCGUUCCCGGGUCUUGUACACACCGCCCGUCACACCACGGGAGUUGGAGACGCCCGAAGCCGAUUAUCUAACCUUUUGGAAGAAGUCGUCGAAGGUGGAAUCAAUAACUGGGGUGAAGUCGUAACAAGGUAGCCGUAUCGGAAGGUGCGGCUGGAUCACCUCCUUUCUAAGGA
rnacentral:rRNA from 1 species